GGAUGAAGGCCCCUCGGGUUGUAAACUGCUUUUGUACAGAACGAAAAAGCUCUGGCUAAUACCUGGAGUCCAUGACGGUACUGUAAGAAUAAGCACCGGCUAACUACGUGCCAGCAGCCGCGGGUAAUACGUAGGGUGCAAGCGUUAAUCGGAAUUACUGGGCGUAAAGCGUGCGCAGGCGGUUUUGUAAGACAGAGGUGAAAUCCCCGGGCUCAACCUGGGAACUGCCUUUGUGACUGACAAGGCUGGAGUGCGGCAGAGGGGGAUGGAAUUCCGCGUGUAGCAGUGAAAAUGCGUAGAUAUGCGGAGGAACACCGAUGGCGAAGGGCAAUCCCCCUGGGGCCUGCACUGACGCUCAUGCACGAAAGCGUGGGGGAGCAAACAGGGAUUAGAUACCCUGGUAGUCCACGCCCUAAACGAUGUCAACUGGUUGUUGGGGUCUUGACUGACUCAGUAACGAAGCUAACGCGUGAAGUUGACCGCCUGGGG
rnacentral:rRNA from 1 species